CCCCUACUCCUCAAAACAUGGGACAUCCUGUGAAUCUUAAAGAUUGGCAUUGCCCCUGUUCUCUUCUUUUCUCUAGUUCCCCUCUCCUUAAGCGGGAUUUCAGCAUGUUCAGGACUACAAAUUGUAUGCACUAUGGGGGUGGGAGGAGGUCUCCUGGUACAAGUGUGCCCACUUGAGUUGGGUACUUGCAAGGUGUCUUUUGCAUAGUGCUACACCCUCUGUACAUACACACUGUGGGAGUUUUCUCUAAUAAUAGGUGCUCUGUGUGUGCCUUCCUCCUCUUUCCUGUUCACUUCCCCCCCUCAAGAAAUGGUAUGACCCAUGUUGAUUACCUGUGUCCUGGCCAGGAAGGGAGUCUGCAUUUCAGACUCUUCAGCAGUCCAAGCAAAAGGGCAAGGCUGGCUCUCCCGAUGGUCCUCCGGUUCCCCUUGCGCAGAAGUGCCAGCUUUACCCUGGAGUGUAGAACCUUGUUUGAGACACCUGAUCCCAGCAUCCUUACCAUGGAAGCCAACGUGUUGGUGAUGGGAGCAGAAAACGUUGGGAAGUCAGCCCUGACUGUUCGCUUCCUGACCCGACGAUUCAUUGGAGAAUAUGGGGACCUGGGUGAGUCUUGGCCUGCUUGUUGCUGGGCAGAUGUUGCUGAU
rnacentral:lncRNA from 1 species